rnacentral:rRNA from 1 species
AUUGAACGCUGGCGGCAUGCCUUACACAUGCAAGUCGAACGGUAACAGGCCGCAAGGUGCUGACGAGUGGCGAACGGGUGAGUAAUGCAUCGGAACGUGCCCAGUCGUGGGGGAUAACGCAGCGAAAGCUGUGCUAAUACCGCAUACGAUCUAUGGAUGAAAGCGGGGGACCGUAAGGCCUCGCGCGAUUGGAGCGGCCGAUGUCAGAUUAGGUAGUUGGUGGGGUAAAGGCUCACCAAGCCAACGAUCUGUAGCUGGUCUGAGAGGACGACCAGCCACACUGGGACUGAGACACGGCCCAGACUCCUACGGGAGGCAGCAGUGGGGAAUUUUGGACAAUGGGCGAAAGCCUGAUCCAGCAAUGCCGCGUGUGUGAAGAAGGCCUUCGGGUUGUAAAGCACUUUUGUCCGGAAAGAAAUGGCUCUGGUUAAUACCUGGGGUCGAUGACGGUACCGGAAGAAUAAGGACCGGCUAACUACGUGCCAGCCGCCGCGGUAAAAC